rnacentral:rRNA from 1 species
CCUACGGGUGGCAGCAGUGAGGAAUAUUGGUCAAUGGUCGCGAGCCUGAACCAGCCAAGUCGCGUGAGGGAUGAAGGUUCUGUGGAUCGUAAACCUCUUUUGUCAGGGAAUAAAGGCUGGGACGUGUCCUCGGUUGUGUGUACCUUAUGAAUAAGGAUCGGCUAACUCCGUGCCAGCAGCCGCGGUAAUACGGAGGAUGCGAGCGUUAUCCGGAUUUAUUGGGUUUAAAGGGUGCGCAGGCGGCCUUUUAAGUCAGCGGUUAAAGGCUGUGGCUCAACCCUGGAACCGCCGUUGAAACUGGCGGUCUUGAGUUGGUGAGAAGUAGGCGGAAUGCGCGGUGUAGCGGUGAAAUGCAUAGAUAUCGCGCAGAACUCCGAUUGCGAAGGCAGCAUGCCGGCUCCACACUGACGCUGAGGCACGAAAGCGUGGGUAUCGAACAGGAUUAGAUACCCGUGUAGUC